UAUUUUUAGAUGUAAAGAGGAUGUGGUGAUUAACAUGAAAGCUAAAGCCAUGUAAAUCCACAUGCAGCAGCUUUCAAUAUCAAAAGUGCUCUGUUAUACAUUACCAUUCUACCAAAAUAUGGGUAGGAAGAAGAAAUUAGUUUCCAUGUUUAAUCGCCAAAUGGCUUUCAAAUAUAAAUUGGAAAUAUUGUCCAUGACUAGGUAGAUAGAGAAGAGUGAUUUCAUUAUUUUAUUGGCACAAAAUACUAAAUAUGUAAAGUGUUAAAAACAACUUUCUAAGAGAAUUAUGUGUUUUAAAUGUUAGGAGUAGCUAACUCCUAAAUGUCAGUCACAUAGGUAUAAUGGAGAUAGAAAUAUUUUGGUUUGAGUUUUAAUAGUUUCUAAAUAUUCAACCAACUCACAGCUGCCCCGUUUUUCAUAGAAGAACUCCUGGAGCUGUUGACUCAAGCCAAUUGUCCUAAAAAUAACACAAUCAACUCAAGAAAUUCUACACCAGCAUCGUGCCCCUCGCCCAGCAAUGGUGAAUUCCUAACCUGUCUUCUCAGACUUUAGCUCUCUCUUCUUCCUUUCCCAUUCCUUGAUUAACUUAAGGUUCACAGCCCUACCAUGCUAGAGAUUAGGUUCAUUUUAAGAAGGUUUCAAUUAAAUUAAAAAUUAGGAGACAUGUUUAUACACUUCCAGAAAAAAGGAAAAUAAAAAAGUGGAAGACGAUGAUGUGAUAACAUGGCAUAAUGGGACAGACCUCGAUCUGAAAUUGCAAAUAUGACGUAACUUCUCUGAGCCUUUGUUUUCUGUUUUUCUAUACAAUAUGGACAGCAAGUCUUACCUCCCAAGAUGUCGUGGGAAUUAAAUGGCACUGUAAAGGUUUUGGUGAAUUUACCAACAAUAGUAUUAUAUUAUGAUUCUGUAAAUCUGUGAUCAUUACUGUUGGUUGGUGACACUGUUCUGGCUCUGAUGAAAAUCACAGAUUAGCUCUUCACAAACUGUAGGUGAGAAGUAACAAAAAAGAAAAGCAGCAAUAAUAGUGUGUCCAGCUGUCUUUAACCGAGAGAAGAUUCCCUCUGGCCGAGGGUGGUUAAUCAAAUCUGCUCACUCCCUUGAUCAUGGCUUUCACUGAGGGUGACCUCUUUGCUUUAUAGUCUCUUCCCUUGUAAAACCAGGUGGUCAACACGUUCGCCGUAUUCUAUUAAAUGUGCCUGCAGUAUCAUCAUUUUGUAAAACUGUCUAGUCAUUUAUUACUAAGGAGUUGGAGGUGAGACACUCUUUAUCUGUUAUAGUCUCAUUCUUUGUUUAAUACUAUACCAAAAAAGUUCCCCAGUGAAUCUCUUUUUCUGAAGCAUAGGAAAAAAUGAAUAGGAAAAUGCAAAAAAAAUACCAUGUUUAUUUUAUAUACUUAUGGUAUAUCUACAGUCCCUCUCUUUUAGUCAAAAAUGUCUAAUCUGAGCCUUCCUUUCUCCAUUUGAUCUACAGUAUACAGAAUCAUUAUCCAUUUUUGUUUAUAGAAGGUGUUUCCUAUCUUCUUUCUGAUGACUUGGUUAGGACUGAACAUAGACAGGCUGUCUCCGCUGACUGCAGUGUGUGCACACACGAUAGCGGAAAUUGUUCAGCUCAAUGGGCAUAACUCUCCCCCUCUCUCUUUCUCUAUUAUGUUCUCUUUUGCCUUUCACAAGAGGGAAAUGUGCAAAUCCAUCAAUCCUAAGGAACGGUGCCACAGUCCUAAAGAAUCCCCACUAUGUUCCUUCUAUAGACCUGGCAUCUAGGACCUUAGCGAACAAAGAUUAUUGUUCACAUAAAGCAACUGCUUGUUUCACAUCCUUUCUGCUCAGACACAGAGAAUUAUCUGAAUCCUGUCCUAUCAGAGCAAAAGGAGAGUCUGAAAAAACUGCAGGUCACAUGUAUGAAAUAUAUUUCCCUUUGGGAAAAGGCACUGAAGGGGAAGGGAGGUGUUUUUGAUGCAGGAUUCUGAUUCCUUCAACUCUAACUUUCCUGAGAAAUCCAACAGACAUUUUAUUUUAUAGCAAAACCAUGUAACUUGAAAAGUGUAAGAACUGAACAAGAAGCAAGGAAAAGCUUGUCAGAGCUGAUACUUGGGAGCCAAGGGGAAACUACACUGAUGAUCACUUAGCAGAGAAGAGCAGAACCAGAAGCUUGUACUGCUUACCCCAGGGUAGCAAACAGUAUGAUCCAGAGAAGAGACUGACAGUUAGCCUUUGAGAGGAGAAUUCUUGACCAUUCCAUUUUGGGGCCAGCGUAGUAGUGUUUUAACUACUUUUCUCAAUUUCAAAAGUCUGCAGAGGCUUCCUCUUUUAAUGUAUCUAUCAAGCUGAGCUUUAAAAAAAAAAAAUUCAAUACGUUCAUUUAUAUAAGCAAAUCCCAAACCCCUAAAACAACAGAAAUCUGGGGAAACUAUUCCUAAACAAUUUCCUUGUUACUGGUUUUAAUCUUUAAAUAUUGCCAUUAGUCUUCUCUGUUCCAUCUUGUAUCAGUUCUGUGCUUCAUGGAUGAAGCAUAAUUUCUCAGAGAACCUUUCUACACAGCUGUUGAAGAAUGAGGCAAUUUAUAAACCACCAUGUCACUGACGGUGUAAAAACUUGAACAGAGGGGCUUUGGUCUGACGAGAGGCACAGGGCAGUCCAGCUCACUGUCGCUCAAUGCAGGGUUGGAGGUUAAACGAGAUCCCCAAUGAACAUAAACUGGAUAGGAAUUGAAGACCAGACUCAUGCACCCCCCCCCAAAUAUUUGGAUGUUUGGCUUUUGAACAUUUUUUUUAAGGCAAAUUACUCUGUCAUUUUAGAGAAAAAGAUACCAUCUCUGCCUAAUCAGAAAUCCGCUUUUCAUGUUUUCUAUCUUUUUUUUAAGAAGAGUUUUGUAAAGAUCACGCCCAUUUGGCAGGCAGCACCUCGAUGCUCUUAUUUUUCUUGCUCACCUCUUCCUUUAAGUCUAAGACUAAGAGACACUGUCACCUUACUUCUCAAUGCCUUUCUCGACCCUCAGAAAAGAUAGUCCUGGUUCAUGGGCCACUGUAACAGUCUUUCCUGGGACAUUCUGUAUAAAGUGCAAAGUGUUGUCAUUUGCAUUUUCUACUGUUGGUGUCAGGCGAUAUGUCCAGGUAUUGAGUUUACAGAGGUAAUAUGAAUAAGUUCUUUUUCUAAACUCCAGGGAGACACUCAAUCAAGAAGUGGCACAGAGUGACUCCAAUGGAAUAAAACAGAGUUAUCAGGAUACUCUGUCUGGGGCAUUAUAAUGACUCCGUUGGUGACAGCUUGUCUACUGCCUGGUGGUAUUAAUAAAGGGCACUUUUUCUGGGGAAAUUGUUGUGCUGGCUUUGCUUUCAUGGGAUCUGUCUAGGCAUGAACUGUCAAAUUGAGUCCCUUUAAACGUCACGAUGGACAAAGGCCCUUGGAGAAUGUUACCUGGGAGUUUCACUGUCCCGUACUGGUUUUUAUUCUCAAGAGGAACCUGUAACCAUUUAAAAUAGGUAUUUGCCUCUGCCAGCCAAAGAAAACCAUAACCAGAUCAUUUACAUAUUAUCUUAAUCAUUCUUGACUUCAUCUAGCGCAAAGCACAUAUGUUGAAUAGGGGUAGUACUAAAAUAUGCUUUGGGAUAUAGUUGAUCCUGUUGGUACUCAUGCCUUGUAGACAAACCUGAGAAGGGAUGGGUGUGGGAUUGGGGAUUUGGGGGGUAUUCGCAGGGGCAGGGAGCUUCAACGGGCUGUAAUUUAAUGGAGUGACACUAAACUUUGAUUCAGAAGUAGUGACCCAAUUUUGUCUUAUCUGAGAUUCAAAACAGCUUAUUUCAUUUGUUUUUUGACAAUUGUACAUUUUGUUAUCCUAUAAGGUUAAUGAGAGGAAGUCAAGGUUAUAAUGAGAACUACAAGAGGGAAAUACCACACUAAAGUCUGCUUUUUUUUUGUUUUUUUUUUUUUUUUUUUUUUUUUGUGGUGACUCGACCUAAAGAAAAAGCACUUAGAUUCUGAAUUCUCAUAAAAGUGCCUGCUUAAUAAGACUCGUGUUAGUACUUGUGAGAAAAGCUAAUCUCUGAGCACUUUCUGCAUAAGUUUUUAUGUCAGAGAUUGGUUGAUUUAGAUAAUCUACCCUGCAAACAGACAUUUAAAUUCUUACUCGAUAAUCUAGAAAAAACAUCCUAGUGCUAUUAAAUCCUGUUUAUUGUUGUAUGGCACUAUCAUGCCAUUAUUUCAAAUAGAAAAGGGAAAAAAGAGAAAGAGGGAGAGAAAGAGGAAAAGAAGAGAAAAUAAAAGACAAGAUAUUCUGGUUACAGAAGCUCAUUAAUUUAGCUCAUAUAGCUCAUUUAUUUAGUUAAGUGACCAAAAUGCUUGCUAUGACUCAUGGAUGUGGUUAAUUUGAAAGCCAGCAUAUUAGUCAGUAAUGUCUGUCCAAUUAAACCUAAAAGCCCAGCUCACAAGCAGCUGGCUUGUGAAGGGAGCAAUACCUGAAACCUCUCCAGAAGAUGACUUUUUCUCUAGUUUAAGGCAGACGUGGGAGAAACACAGCACACCAGCAGGACAUAAAGAAUAUUCACCAAAACAACAGGGUUUCUAUUUCCAAUUACGUCUGGGUUGAAAGGUUUUUUUUGGUUUUUUUUUUAGGAUUUUCAAAAAUUAUAUAAUAAAUGUAUUCAAAAGGGAAAAGACGGAAAAAGAGUAUAUCAGUUGCCCAGAUCUACAGAAAGAAACAUUAGCUUUAGUCCUCUUUCUUCGCAUCUCACUUCCCUCCUCCACCGUUUGACUCAAGAGAACAAACUCUGUACAAACCGGCAGAUGGGAAACUGCAUCUGCCUCAGCACUACCAGGAAAACAGAACUGGGCAGAGCAGCAAGGGUGGGAUCUUACUGAACACAUGUCGUUGUUGUCCCCCAGAAAGAGCCCCUUUAUCUGGGCAAAAGUCACCUUCUUGUUCCUGUCACUUCUUAUACACCCUGUUUUCCUUAGACAAUUUCCUUCUGUGGAGAAAGGAGAAUUAUUGCAACAUGUGCUCCUCUAUGAUGCCAACAAGUAGACCAGCCUUUCACCUGCUCAAAUGAGAGAAUGGAUUUAGAGGAGUGGUAGAGUGGAUUAUCUACUAAUAAAAUGAAUAAAGAUGUAAAUGGGUAUAGGACGUUUUCUGCAUUUAUGAGCAAAUUCUAAUGUUAAUUGCAAAUAAAGGAGAGCAAGAGCAUGCAAGAAGAAAGGCAACCUGUACAGUACUUUUUUAAAAAAAUCAAAAGGCAUAAAUCACCAACCCCCAAGUCAACCAAUUCAACCUCCUAUUAAUUUGGAAAUAAAUAAUCUAAUUUUAGCUGAGACAUCCAAUCCCAGGGAUUAACUGAAAGGUAAACCAUUCCUUGGCAUUCUAAGUGUAUGCUAAGUGAGUGUCUUAGCUUCUUGCUUUCAGGAGGGAAAAUACAUCAGAGGAUUUAUAUUCUCAUGUGCUCCUUCCUACUUUGGUUUAUUUUCCUAGCGUGUUGGACUAGAAUUUAAAGUUGUUUUAGGGGAAAUCAAAGCAAAUUUACCUGAAGAAGAGUCCAUGGGAAGAAGAGUCCUGAAGAAGGUCCAGAUCAAGCUGUUUUGAUUUUGUUUGCUUUGGAAGAGCAUAGGAUGCAACACUUCUCCCUGUUAUAUGUUUGAUUCUUCUACUUGACUUGCAGUUUCUUAUAGAAAAUUUUAUUUUCAUGCUCUAUAUUUCUUUGAGCCAAAAGACAUAAUUUUCAACUAAUUUUUUUUAUCAUUUGGCAUAUCUCAUUAUUAUCAUAAUUUUCAACUCUAAAAUAUAUCUCCUUAAAUCUGGGUGUUCAUUUUUAUAUGUAUAUGUGUGUGUGUGUGUGUAUACACAAUAAAUUUAUGUGUGUGUAUAUAUGUAUAUAACUAUAAUAUGUAUAUUUGAAGUAAAUAAUAGUAUAUAUUUUUAUAUUUAUACCAUACAUAUAUACACACACAUAUAUACUCUAACUUAGUUCAGCAUAACAUAAAAUCACAUUGCUUAGGAAUAAUUAUGUUACAACAUUUUAUCCCCACUUGAUAGCUUAAUGUAGUACUUUUGUUUUGAAAAUAAGGUAUGAAGACUAUAUUCCAAUAAUGUUCAAAUAAAUUCCAAAUCCACUAAAAUUGUAGGAGCUGCCGUAAAGCUUGCCGUGUUGAAAUGGCAGUAUGUGGGUAGAAAUAAAUUCUGCCGCACAAGUAGAAGACAAAGACCGAAGUCAAAUGCCAGCAGCAGACACCCAGGAUGCUAUUCUUUUCCUGUCUCAAGUGAAUCUACCAGCAAACACAC
rnacentral:lncRNA from 1 species